rnacentral:lncRNA from 10 species
AAAUAAAAUUCAUAUUUAAAAUCUUCCAAAAUGUUUCCGACCAGGAAAAUUUUAGGCCCAGAUAACUUCACUAGUGAAGAAAAUAAUAUCCAUCCAACACAGUCUUCCAGAUAAUUAAAAAAGAGAGAAUACUCUGCAAGUCAUUUUAAGAUUUGGUAUAACCUUAAUAUCAAAACCCGACAAGGUCAUUAUGGGAAAAGAAAAAUAUAGGUCAAUGUAACUCAUUGACAUAACUGAAAAAAAAUUUAAAGAAGAAAGAACCUGACCAUAUAUGAGAAUAAUAAUAUACUACAUACAAGUUAAGGUAUUCCAGAAAUGAAAGAUUGGUAUAAUAUUUGAAAAUCAAUUAAUGUAAUUUACCACAUUAAGAGAAUAAAGUCUAACAAUCAUAUGAUUAUUUUAAUAGAUGAAGAAAAAAGUAUUUAUAAUAGAAGCCCUUAUUAAAUGGGAAGAGACAGAAAGGGACUUCCUUGAUUUGUUAGAAUAUGUUUAUAAAAAACAUAUAGCAAACAUAAAAUAUAAUGAUGAGUAUAGAAAGCUUUCUCUUUGAAGCUGAAGCUGAGAUUAGGAAGCCCCAGAUCUUUUUAAAAUUUGACUGUAGGUCCCAGGCCAGUGAAAAUAAAAAGAUGAAGGCAGGAAGGCAAAAGGAAGGAAGGAAGGGAAGAAGAAAGAAAAGGUAGAGAAUUGGAAAGGAAGAAAUGAAACUGUCAUGCACAGACAACAUGACUGUAAUUUAGGAAAUCUAAAAGAGUCCAUAUAUAAAAAUUUUGGAAUGAAUAAAUGAGUUCAUCAAGUGUUCUGGAUAUGACAAUAUACAAAAUUCAGUUGCAUUUCUUAAUCAGCAAAAAAACAGUUACAAAAUGGAAGUUUUAAAUCCAAUACAUGAUGAAUGUUACUGAGAUCUUUAAAUAAAUAAAUGGAAUAUAUACCAUGGUCAUGGGUUGGAAGACUCAGUGUUAGGAAGAUGUCAAUUCUCUUCUAACUGACCUAUAAUUACAAUGCAAUCCUAAACAAAACUCCUCCUUCAUUCUCUCCUUCCCUUCUUCCUUCCUUUCAUGGCACUUGACAAGCUGAUUCUAAAGAUUAUAUACAAACACAAAAAGUCAAGAAUAACUUACACAUUAUUGAAAAAAUCCCAAUCUGGAGGACUUUGCUCUGUCUACUAAAUACCAAAACUUAUUAUAAAAUCUAAAUAUUGACACGUUAUAAAGUCAUAGUAGUUUAGUGUGAUACUAAUCCAAGGAUAGCCAAAGAGACCAAUGGAAUCAAAGAGAGAUCCCAGAAACAGACCCAUGCAUUAUGGAUUGCUGAUUUACAAUAAACGUGCAUUGUUAAGCACUGGAGGAAAGGAUAACUUUUAUCAAAUGACACUGAAUGAACUGCAAUAUAUAAUAUGGAAAAUGUAAAUCUUGACCCCUACCUCACAUUAAACAUGUGAUGGGUUAAUUUUUUGUGUUAACUUAACUGGGCCACAGAAUGCCCAGACAUUUGUUCAAAUGUUAUCCUGGGGUAUUUCUGGAUGAGAUUAACAUUUAAAUUGGUAGACAGAAUAAAACAAAUUGCCCUUCCUAACAUAGGUGGGCCUCAUCCAACCAAUUGAAGACCUCAAUAGAAUACAAAGGCUGAGUAAGAGGGAACUUCUGUCUGAUUGUUUGAACUGGGACAUUGGUCUUUUCUUGACUUCAAACUUGAACAGAAAAAUCAACUGUCCUUGGGUCUUGAGCCUGUCUCGAACUUGCUGACUAUAGAUCUUGGGACUUCUUAGCCUCCAUAAUCACAUGAGCCAAUUCCUUGUAAUCUCUCUCUCUCUCUCUCUCUCUCUCUCUCUGUGUAUAUAUAUGUGUGUGCGUAUAUGUAUAUAUAUAUAUAUGUGUGUGUGUAUAUAUAUAUAUAUAUAUGUGCUAUAUAUAUUUGCUAUGGAUUGGUUCUGUUUCUCUGAAAAACCCUAAUGCAAUACACAAAAACUAAUUUGUGGUCAAUUAUACAUCUGUCUUCUAGAAAAUAAUAUAGAAUAUCUUUAUAACUAUGAUGUAGGCACAGACUUUUUAAACUGGACACAGAGUACUUAUCAUAACUAUCAUUCCAUUGAAAUUAAGACAUUCCAUUAGUCAAAUGACACCACAAAGAGAGUAAAAAGACAUGCCACAAAGUUGGUGAGCUAUUUGCAAUACAUUUCACUGACAAAGAGCUCAGAUGCAGAAUAUAUUUUUAAAAUCCUACAAAUUAAUGUGAAAAAGACACAUAAGCCAAUAGUAGAAUGGGAAUAAUACAACCACUUCGUAAAAGAGGAUAUCUAAAUUGUCCAAAAAAAUGAAAGUGUGCUCAGCUUCAUUAGUUAUCAGUGAAAUGAAAAAGGCAGAUAAUAACAAGCAAUGGUGGUGAUGUACAGCACCAAGAACUGUUAUCACUACUGAUGGAAGUGUAAACUGAUACAACCAAUUUGGAAGUUUGGCAUCAUAUAUUACAGUUGAACAUGCAAUUCUCCUCAUAGAUAGCUACCCAACAGAAAUUUGUGUACGUGUAUACUGAGAGGUAUAUAUAAGAAUUUUCAUAGCCGCAUUAUAUAUAAUAUUGAAAAGCUGGAAAUAACCUAAAUUUAUAUAAAGAACAAAACAAUAGCAUAAACUGUGAUAUGUUCAAUAAUUGUAUACUACACAUCAAUGCAAAUAAAUUAAUUAAAUCUAAACAUAGAAACAUGGAUUCAUACCAUAAACAUAACAUUUUAGCUCAGGCUGCUAUAACAAAAUACUAUGGCUUAUAAAAAGCAAAUUUAUUUCUCAUAGUUCUGGAGGCUGGGAAGUACAGGAUCAAGGUGAUAGAUUCAGUGUCUGGUGAGGGCCCUCUUCCUCACAGAUGGCUGUUUUUCACUGUAACCUCACAUGGUAGAAGAGUGAGGGAGCUCUCUGGGGUCUCUUUCAUAAGGGCACUAAUCCCUCCCAGUGGCCCCAACUCCUAAUACUAUCACCUUGGAAGUUUGGAUUUCAACAUAUAAUUUUUUGGGGGAGGGACAUAAACAUUCAGUUUCAUUGUAUAUAGUAUUGAAUAAAAUAUGCCAGCCAUAAAAAAUACAUGCUGUAUAGUUCCAUUUAUAUACAGUUCACAAAACAGGCAAUAUCCUAAACUGUACUGCUUAGGAUAUAAAAUAUAAAGAAAAACAAGGAAAGGGUUACCAUAAAUUUCAGGAUUAUUAUUAGCUCUAGUGGUAAGGAAGGGGGAUGACUGAAGGGGACAUCAAUGGCAUUUCUGGACUGCUAACAGUAUUCUACUUCUUGACAUGAGUGGUGAUUACCCAGUUUUUCAUUUUGUAAUAAAUAAUUUAGCUCUACAUCUUGUGAAUGUGUGUGACUCUAUAUGUGUGCUAUCUUUCAUGAUCAAAUGUUAAAAUGGCAGAACCACAGGAGAAACAAAUUCACAACCAUAAUGAGAAACUUAAU